UUUCCUCCUCACGUCACUCGCUCUCGCACACUCUCCGCCCAAGAAAUUCAGCGGCAGGAGCCGUGUCGGCCAUCGGAGGCGUCAUCGUCCAUGCCUUCCGCCGUGCACGUCGUCCACACCAUCACUUCUGCCGCCACCGCCGCCCAGGGUAUCGUGGUGUUUUCCAGAGGCAUUGGGGCAAGUGGGGGCCCAGAUCCAAAACCCCAACAUGGGGAAAGAAGCAAUGGUUCGGCACGUUCAACAUCGCCGAGGAGGCGGCAUGCGAUUAUGAUGUCAUGGCGCUGGCGUACCAGGGCGAAGGACCCAACUCAACUUUCCCAACAAUGUCUGGCGCGUGAGUCGGUUAGUGCCUCCCAACAUGAGGGUAGGCUCCAACGCCGAGGAGAAGUAGCACCUCAAGGCCGAGGCACUAAUCAGGGCCGACAACAAUAAAGUAGUGAUUCUUUGGUGGAGCAUUAUCUCAGGGAGGAUCCACAGCUCUAUGCCUUGGAUGAGGCGUUGCUAAAGGCCGCAUGCGACAAGGAGGAGGCCGAUGAUGACCUGAUAGACUAGGACUGAGUCCUACAACAUGGAUGAUGACUCCGGCUUUGACGCUCAUUUUGAUCAAGACAUUUGGAUGGAUCUGGACAUGAUUUCAAUUCUUCCUCCAUGUGAGUUUCUUGACAAAUUUGUUAAAUAAUCUGUCUUGCUUAUUUAAAAAUAGUUGUAAUUCACCCCUAACUUAACUUGCUUAUUUAAAAUUGACAACUUAUUUUCUAUGUCCAAGAAAAACACAUGAUAUAGUAAACGACACCUUACACUACUGGCUCAGAUCUUACUUGGGAGGAGAAGAAUUACCUUGUAUCUUUUUUAAUGAUGUUCAUUCUCUUAAGGGAGCUUGCGGAGCUAGUACAAAAGAUACACGAUACGUGCCACUAGUCCACACCUUGACCAAUAUCAACAUUUAUAGAAAAUGCAUGGUAAGAUUUUUGUACUAUUGUGUUCCACUAUUCUAUCUUUUUCAUAUAUUCUCUUAAAUAAACUACAUUGUUUACUAUGUUACUAUUACGUUCUUGAACAAAAUCUCCCAAAAUGUGUUGUGCCUGUGGUGAUGGAUGUCCAACGUGAGAUGAUAAUUAUUUGCCAUGAGAAAACCAUUUUCAAAGGCACAUACUCGAUUUCAACCCUACCAGUUGGGCGCCUCGAAGUUGAUGGAUAGAGGCGAAUACUGAAUGAAUGCAUAUAUGAAAUUGGAGAUAGGUGGAUCUCUGGCCUACACCAUGGAGAUGCAAGGGUUUUCCUAUUCUUUACAUUAUUCCUAAAAGAGAGGAGUAGGUGCUAGUACUUGUCAUGAUCAAUACUAAUUAAUUAGUGGAUGUAUGUACCGUCGAUCCUGUUUUGGCUACUAUGUGCUGGCUAGCUAGCUAGAUAGGAUGAUAACAAGUAGUUGGUGGAAUUUUAGUCAUGAUUGAUAACAAUUAGCUAGUGGUAAAUUUAUGCUAUAAUGUGUUGUAAUUUAUUAUCAUAAUCAAUGUAUUGUUGCAGCAUAUUGCAAUUUAUGAUAGAGGUAAAUAUAUCAGUGGUGCUUGAACUUGCCAUGGA